GACGAACGCUGGCGGCGUGCUUAACACAUGCAAGUCGAACGGAAAGGCCCUGCUUGCAGGGUACUCGAGUGGCGAACGGGUGAGUAACACGUGGGUGAUCUGCCCUGCACUUCGGGAUAAGCCUGGGAAACUGGGUCUAAUACCGGAUAUGACCUUCCAUGUAGUGUGGGGGGUGGAAAGAUUUAUCGGUGUGGGAUGAGCCCGCGGCCUAUCAGCUUGUUGGUGGGGUAAUGGCCUACCAAGGCGUCGACGGGUAGCCGGCCUGGGAGGGUGGACGGCCACAUUGGGACUGAGAUACGGCCCAGACUCCUACGGGAGGCAGCAGUGGGGAAUAUUGCACAAUGGGCGGAAGCCUUAUGCAGCGACGCCGCGUGGGGGAUGACGGCCUUCGGGUUGUAAACCUCUUUCGACAGGGACGAAGCUUCGGUGACGGUACCUGUAUAAGAAGCACCGGCUAACUACGUG
rnacentral:rRNA from 1 species